UUCCGUUGGUGAACCAGCGGAGGGAUCAUUACCGAGUUUACAACUCCCAAACCCCUGUGAACAUACCACUUGUUGCCUCGGCGGAUCAGCCCGCUCCCGGUAAAACGGGACGGCCCGCCAGAGGACCCCUAAACUCUGUUUCUAUAUGUAACUUCUGAGUAAAACCAUAAAUAAAUCAAAACUUUCAACAACGGAUCUCUUGGUUCUGGCAUCGAUGAAGAACGCAGCAAAAUGCGAUAAGUAAUGUGAAUUGCAGAAUUCAGUGAAUCAUCGAAUCUUUGAACGCACAUUGCGCCCGCCAGUAUUCUGGCGGGCAUGCCUGUUCGAGCGUCAUUUCAACCCUCAAGCACAGCUUGGUGUUGGGACUCGCGUUAAUUCGCGUUCCUCAAAUUGAUUGGCGGUCACGUCGAGCUUCCAUAGCGUAGUAGUAAAACCCUCGUUACUGGUAAUCGUACGCGGCCACGCCGUUAAACCCCAACUUCUGAAUGUUGACCUCGGAUCAGGUAGGAAUACCCGCUGAACUUAAGCAUAUCAAUAAGCGGAGGAA
rnacentral:rRNA from 1 species